ACGCUCGACACCUACGGGAGCAGCAGUGGGGAAUAUUGCACAAUGGGGGAAACCCUGAUGCAGCGACGCCGCGUGAGCGAAGAAGUAUUUCGGUAUGUAAAGCUCUAUCAGCAGGGAAGAAAAUGACGGUACCUGACUAAGAAGCCCCGGCUAACUACGUGCCAACAGCCGCGGUAAUCUGAGCGGGCUGGCAAGGC
rnacentral:rRNA from 1 species